rnacentral:lncRNA from 1 species
GCCAACUCAAUCUCCGCAUCAGGAAAAAUAAUACAUUCAGCAAAUCAUAACUAUAAAUAAGCAAUUUUCUCCUCUGUAAGUCUCCCAUUUGUACCUUCUCCUGCCUUGGAUCACAUCAACCCAGCUUCUCUCGCUCUCUCCAUCCAUUUUAGCAACCCGAGUUCCCUCUUGGGUAUUUGCCAUAAAACCAUCAGGAAUCACCAAUGCCUUGCCCUUCAUUCUUCGGGUCCCCAUCACACAAUUGCCCUUGAU